UGGGUGACGAGUGGCGGACGGGUGAGUAAUGUCUGGGGAUCUGCCCGAUGGAGGGGGAUAACUACUGGAAACGGUAGCUAAUACCGCAUAACGUCGCAAGACCAAAGUGGGGGACCUUCGGGCCUCACACCAUCGGAUGAACCCAGAUGGGAUUAGCUAGUAGGUGGGGUAACGGCUCACCUAGGCGACGAUCCCUAGCUGGUCUGAGAGGAUGACCAGCCACACUGGAACUGAGACACGGUCCAGACUCCUACGGGAGGCAGCAGUGGGGAAUAUUGCACAAUGGGCGCAAGCCUGAUGCAGCCAUGCCGCGUGUAUGAAGAAGGCCUUCGGGUUGUAAAGUACUUUCAGCGGGGAGGAAGGCGAUAAGGUUAAUAACCUUAUCGAUUGACGUUACCCGCAGAAGAAGCACCGGCUAACUCCGUGCCAGCAGCCGCGGUAAUACGGAGGGUGCAAGCGUUAAUCGGAAUUACUGGGCGUAAAGCGCACGCAGGCGGUCUGUCAAGUCGGAUGUGAAAUCCCCGGGCUUAACCUGGGAACUGCAUUCGAAACUGGCAGGCUGGAGUCUUGUAGAGGGGGGUAGAAUUCCAGGUGUAGCGGUGAAAUGCGUAGAGAUCUGGAGGAAUACCGGUGGCGAAGGCGGCCCCCUGGACAAAGACUGACGCUCAGGUGCGAAAGCGUGGGGAGCAAACAGGAUUAGAUACCCUGGUAGUCCACGCUGUAAACGAUGUCGACUUGGAGGUUGUGCCCUUGAGGCGUGGCUUCCGGAGCUAACGCGUUAAGUCGACCGCCUGGGGAGUACGGCCGCAAGGUUAAAACUCAAAUGAAUUGACGGGGGCCCGCACAAGCGGUGGAGCAUGUGGUUUAAUUCGAUGCAACGCGAAGAACCUUACCUGGCCUUGACAUCCAGAGAAUUUAGCAGAGAUGCUUGAGUGCCUUCGGGAACUGUGAGACAGGUGCUGCAUGGCUGUCGUCAGCUCGUGUUGUGAAAUGUUGGGUUAAGUCCCGCAACGAGCGCAACCCUUAUCCUUUGUUGCCAGCGAUUCGGUCGGGAACUCAAAGGAGACUGCCGGUGAUAAACCGGAGGAAGGUGGGGAUGACGUCAAGUCAUCAUGGCCCUUACGGCCAGGGCUACACACGUGCUACAAUGGCGCAUACAAAGAGAAGCGACCUCGCGAGAGCAAGCGGACCUCAUAAAGUGCGUCGUAGUCCGGAUUGGAGUCUGCAACUCGACUCCAUGAAGUCGGAAUCGCUAGUAAUCGUAGAUCAGAAUGCUACGGUGAAUACGUUCCCUGGGCCUUGUACACACCGCCCGUCACACCAUGGGAGUGGGUUGCAAAAGAAGUAGGUAGCUA
rnacentral:rRNA from 1 species